CGAGGCCGUCGCUCGGAGGCUGCUGCGCGACCCCUCCGCCUGCUGCGAGGCCGCCGCCCGGAGCUGCUGCUGCGAGCCCGUCGCCCGGCCGGUGAAUUGCUGCUGCGAGCCCGCCGCCCGGGGCUGCUGCUGCGAGGCCGUCACUCGGAGCUGCUGCGCGACCCCUCCGCUUCGCUGCGAGGACGCCGCCCGGAGCUGCUGCUGCGAGCCCGUCGCCCGGCCGGUGUUGCUGCUCCGCGGUGCUGCAACGGCUGCGCGCUGCUGCUGCUCCGGCACGCCGCCGCCAUGCGGCACCGUGGCGGCCCGGGCUAGCUGACGUGCUGUUGCUGCUGCCUGUCGGCCCCGCUGCGGCUCGGCCCCGCUGCUCCGCCUCGGCACGCCGCCGACACAGGCAGGAUCUGCGUCGAGUUUGAGGGUAGGGCGCCGUCUUCGCAGGGCAUCUUCGGCGGCGAUCGAUUACGCUUCGAGGGAUGGAGAAUCGCGAUUGGAUGUACACGGGCAGAAACAGCAAGUGGGACUUUACAGUUGAAUGGAGAGACAAGACCAAGCAAUUUGUGGAAAAUGCGUUUGCAGACCCCAGCAAGC